rnacentral:tRNA from 1 species
UAGCUCAGUGGUAGAGCGCUUGCCUCACAUGCAUGAGGCCCUGUGUUCGAUUCCUCAG